rnacentral:lncRNA from 1 species
GAAACAUUACAGUCCUACAACUGAGAAAGAAGUGACAACAACGUCUGGCACUCCUACAACUAAGAAAGAAAUGACUACAACGCCUGGUAUUCUUACAACUAAGAAAGAAAUGACUACAACGCCUGGUAUUCCUACAACUAAGAAAGAAAUUACUACAAUGCCUGGUAUUCCUACAACUAAGAAAGAAAUUACUACAACGCCUGGUAUUCCUACAACUAAGAAAGAAAUUACUACAACGCCUGGUAUUCCUACAACUGAGAAAGAAAUUACUACAACGCCUGGUAUUCCUACAACUAAGAAAGAAAUGACUACAACGCUUGGUAUUCCUACAACUAAGAAAGAAAUUACAACAACGUCUGGUAUUCCUACAACUGAGAAAGAAAUUACUACAACGCCUGGUAUUCCUACAACUAAGAAAGAAAUUACAACAACGCCUGGUAUUCCUACAACUGAGAAAGAAAUAACAACAACGCCUGGUAUUCCUACAACUGAGAAAGAAAUUACUACGACGCCUGGUAUUCCUACAACUGAGAAAGAAAUUACUACAACGCCUGGUAUUCCUACAACUAAGAAAGAAAUGACUACAACGCCUGGUAUUCCUACAACUAAGAAAGAAAUGACUACAACGCCUGGUAUUCCUACAACUAAGAAAGAAAUUACUACAACGCCUGGUGUUCCUACAACUAAGAAAGAAAUAACAACAACGCCUGGUAUUCCUACAACUGAGAAAAAAAUAACAACAACGCCUGGUAUUCCUACAACUGAGAAAGAAAUUACUACGACGCCUGGUAUUCCUACAACUGAGAAAGAAAUGAC